GAGCCACAGAGAUGCAACUAAGCUACGCCCAGGAGAUCGUCUUACUAUGGCCGGCUCCUUUCGAGUGAAUUUGAAUCAAGUGGCUGCAAGAUACAUUAAUAAAGAGAAUAAUACACGAGGAGGUAAAAUCAGCAGCUGGAGCCUCACACGUGCUUGCAACAGCUUGCAUCAAGAGAAUAAUCUGAAAAAGCACCCAGUGAAAGCACAUGUAGACUGGAUGAUCUACGGUGAUUGCUAUCCACAUAAGUAUAGAGGGCCGCGAAGAACUCAUUGUACAGGAUUUUUUUCGUGGUCCGCUCAU